AAGACAUAGUGUAUCAUUCCACUUAUCUGAGGUGUCUAAAGUCAAAUUCAGGGGCCGGGCGUGGUGCUUCACGCCUGUAAUCCCAGCACUUUGGGAGGCCGAGGCAGGCGGAUCACUUGAGGUCAGGAGUGCGAGAACAGCCUGGCCAACAUGGCAAAACUCUGUCUCUACUAAAAAUAGAAAAAUUAGCUGGGCAUGGUGGUGCACACCUGUAAUCCCAGCUACUCAGGUAGCUGAGGCAUGAGAAUUGCUUGAACCUGGGAGGCAGAGGUUGCAGUGAGUCGAGAUCACGCCACUGCACUCCAGCCUGGAUGACAGCAAGAUUGUCAAAACAAAAAAUAAAAAUAAAGUCAAAUUCAAAGAAACAGUAGAAUGAUGGUUACCAGAGGCUGGGGGAAGGAAGCUGGAGGAAGGGGAGUUUUGUUUAAUGGGUACAGAGUUUCAGUUUUGCAAAAUAAAAAACUUUUGGAGGUCGGGCAUGGUAGCUCGUGCCUGUAAUCCCAGCACUUUGGGAGGCCAAGGAUGGCGGAUCAUGAGAUCAGGAAUUCAAAACCAGCCUGGCCAAUAUGGUGAAACUCCGUCUCUACUAAAAAUACAAAAAUUAGCCAGGCGUGGUGGUGGGUGCCUGUAAUCCCAGCUACUUGGGAGGCUGAGGCAGGAGAAUCACUUGAACCCAGGAGGCAGAGGUUGCAGUGAGCCAAGAUUGUGCCACUGCACUCCAGCCUGGGCGACAGAGCGAGACUCCAUCUCAAAAAACAAACAAAAACUUGGAGAUCUGUUUCACAACAAUAUGAAUAUAUGUAACACUACUGAACUGUAUGCUUAAAAAUAGUUAAGAUGGUAAAUUUUAUGUGUUUUUUACCACAAUAAAAACCAAACAAAACAAGGCAUGAUGAUUCAUGCCUGUAAUUCCAGCACUUUAGGAGACCAAGGUGGGAGGAUCACUUGAGCCCAAGAGUUCAAGACCAGCCUGGGCAGUGUGGCAAGACCCAAUCUCUCAUUAAAUAAAUAAUAGUAACCAAAUAAUAACCAAACAAAAAAAUAACCACCACUUUUCACACUCACCAUGGCAAAAUUUAAAAACCUAACAAUUCCAAGUGUUGUCAAGGCUAUAGGACAACUGCUGGUGAGAGUGCAAAUUGGUAUAACCACUUUGAAAAAAAAGUUUGGCAUUAUGUAUGAAACUUGAGCAUAACAUAUACUUUAUAACCCAGUAAUACCUCUACUAUGUAUAUACUCAACAGAAAUGCAUACAUAUGUGUAACAACAUGUAUAAAAAUGUUUAUAGUGGCAUUUCUCGUUAUAGCCCCAAACUGGAUACCACCCACAUGCCCAUCAUCAGUAGAAUGGAUAAAUAAAUUGUUGUGUAUGCAUGCAAUGGGACUACACUGCAACGAAAAUGAAUGAACUACUGCUACAGGCAACCUGGAUGAAUCUCACAAACAUGAUGUUGAGCGAAAGGAGCCAGACAUAAAAGAAUGCAGACUGUAUGAUUCCAUUUUUGUGAAGUUCAAAAACAGGCAAAAACUAACCUAUGGUGUCAGGAUAGUGGUUACCUUUGGGGAGGAGGGUGGGUAAUGGGAAAAGGGGCACAAGGGGAGGAUCUUUUGAGGUGCUAAUAAGGCUUUAUCUCUUCACCUGGUGGUGGAAACUCGUGUGUCUACUUUGUGAGAAUUGGGUUGUGCACUUAAAACUGGUGUGUAUGUAUGCUGUUCUUCAAUAAAAAAAAUUUUUUUAAUCACGGCUUAUCAGGAUUCAGCUGCCCAUUAGACACCUUUCUGUGUCUUUCUCUCUCUCUCUCUCCAGCUCUUCACAGAGGUCCUCCAGGAUCAAGGGGACCACUGAUUCCACCACUGCUGAGUCUCCCACCUCCUCCUUGGGGUAGAGGCCCAAUUUGGAGAGGCCUUGGCCCCAGGUCUAGCCCAUAUGGUCGUGGUUGGUGGGGAGUCAAUGCAGAACCUCCUUUUCCGGGGCCAGGCCAUGGGGGUCCCACCAGGGGAAGCUUUCACAAAGAACAGAGAAACCCUCGAAGGCUCAAAAGCUGGUCUCUUAUCAAGAAUACCUGCCCGCCCAAGGAUGACCCCCAGGUUAUGGAAGACAAAUCCGACCGCCCUGUCUGCCGACAUUUUGCCAAAAAGGGCCACUGUCGAUAUGAGGACCUCUGUGCCUUCUACCACCCAGGCGUCAAUGGACCUCCUCUGUGAGACUGUGCCUUCCCAUCCAGGCUGGAAGGAGCUGUCUGUGACCUAGCGGCCAUUUAUUUCUCUGUAGCCCUAUGAUGGCUACUGUGAGGCUCUUCUAACACCCUCAGUCAGUGACACACCCACCCCAUCCACCACCUCCCCUGUGUGGGGUCCAGAGUUGUGUUGCAUCACUGGUGCGCGGUAUACGCGCUUUCUUCUGAUCCAGCCUGUAGAGACUCGCCUUUGGGACCCAUCUUUGCUUCCUUUCAGUUGCCUCCUGGAUCUUCUUUCCCAUCAUCAAAUGACUGCUGAACAGGAAACCUCUUUGGUGCUGUUUCUUGUGCAUCUGUCCACCUGUUCCCCAGUAUUGCCCUCAAUUCCUGAGAGCCCUGGAGUGGUUUCCUACCAUUCCCUUCUUUUAGCUGCUGUUUUAAGUCCUUUUUAUGUGACAUUCCCUACCCCCAAUGUUGUCAGCUGCUUGUGAAACUCAGCCAGGUUGUCUAACCUGGGGUCAAGUUUGGGUGACUGGUGCAGAGUUACUUCCUAAAAGGCCACUCUCCCUGCCUUUGGAUUUCAUAGUUUCUCUGUCAGUAGCAUGAUCCCCACCACUAUGGUCUAUUAUCACCGUGCUUUGUGAAACUGUGCAUCCCCUUGUAGCCUUUCUCAGUGUCCGUGGCAUUUUUGUGACUUUCCAGCACUAGAAUAAGUUUUCCUGCCAAAAUGAGUGAGGCGCUUGGUGCCCUCUGGACUUUCCCACUUCCCAACAUGGGAGAAUUGAGAACUUUCCAUCAGACUGCCUCCCUGGCCCUCCCCAUUCUUCUCCUGUUGGUUAUUCUGGGUCUGACACAGGCCCAUGACAUGUCUUACAAAGCCUCCAAUGGCUUUAUCCUACCUAGAUCCCUCCCAGCCCAUUUUAAUUAGACUGUGUCAUCGUGAGGCCACCAGUCCAUUCAUUUGAAUUCUGUGAAUCUCCACCUUGCCUAUCUUUGGGUGGAACCUGGACAGUACUGUCGCCCUCUUCCAACCCUCUUCCCCUACAUCCCUGGCACUGGUUGUUUUCUGUGAAAACAGCAGUGAACAGGUUCAGUUUUGAACUGGCCCUGAGGAAAUGGGUCAGGAGUUGUAUUGGCAAGAGGGAGGGAUGAGAGCCGUUGGAGAACUGAGAAUGAGGCUUUGUUUUGUUUUUUUCUUUUUAACUUUUUUUAUAUUAGUAAUAAAUGCAGUGGAAACCAGCAUUUUAUUUAA
rnacentral:sRNA from 1 species